UUUCCGUAGGUGAACCUGCGGAAGGAUCAUUACAGUGUUCUCUGCCCUCACGGGUAGACACGCCCACCCUUGUAUAUUAUAUCUUUGUUACUUUGGCAGGCCGCCCUCGGGCACCGGCUCCGGCUGGAUCGCGCCUGCCAGAGGAAACCCAAACUCUGAAUGUUAGUGUCGUCUGAGUACUAUCUAAUAGUUAAAACUUUCAACAACGGAUCUCUUGGUUCUG
rnacentral:misc_RNA from 1 species